AGAGUUUGAUCCUGGCUCAGGAUGAACGCUAGCGGCAGGCUUAACACAUGCAAGUCGAGGGGCAGCACGAGGUAGCAAUACUUUGGUGGCGACCGGCGCACGGGUGCGUAACGCGUAUGCAACCUACCUUUAACAGGGGCAUAACACUGAGAAAUUGGUACUAAUUCCCCAUAACAUUCGAGAAGGCAUCUUCUUGGGUUAAAAACUCCGGUGGUUAAAGAUGGGCAUGCGUUGUAUUAGCUAGUUGGUGAGGUAACGGCUCACCAAGGCAACGAUACAUAGGGGGACUGAGAGGUUAACCCCCCACAUUGGUACUGAGACACGGACCAAACUCCUACGGGAGGCAGCAGUGAGGAAUAUUGGUCAAUGGACGCAAGUCUGAACCAGCCAUGCCGCGUGCAGGAAGACGGCUCUAUGAGUUGUAAACUGCUUUUGUACUAGGGUAAACGCUUCUACGUGUAGGAGCCUGAAAGUAUAGUACGAAUAAGGAUCGGCUAACUCCGUGCCAGCAGCCGCGGUAAUACGGAGGAUCCAAGCGUUAUCCGGAUUUAUUGGGUUUAAAGGGUGCGUAGGCGGUUUGAUAAGUUAGAGGUGAAAUACCGGGGCUCAACUCCGGAACUGCCUCUAAUACUGUUGAACUAGAGAGUAGUUGCGGUAGGCGGAAUGUAUGGUGUAGCGGUGAAAUGCUUAGAGAUCAUACAGAACACCGAUUGCGAAGGCAGCUUACCAAACUAUAUCUGACGUUGAGGCACGAAAGCGUGGGGAGCAAACAGGAUUAGAUACCCUGGUAGUCCACGCAGUAAACGAUGAUAACUCGUUGUCGGCGAUACACAGUCGGUGACUAAGCGAAAGCGAUAAGUUAUCCACCUGGGGAGUACGUUCGCAAGAAUGAAACUCAAAGGAAUUGACGGGGGCCCGCACAAGCGGAGGAACAUGUGGUUUAAUUCGAUGAUACGCGAGGAACCUUACCCGGGCUUGAAAGUUAGUGACGAUUCUGGAAACAGGAUUUCCCUUCGGGGCACGAAACUAGGUGCUGCAUGGUUGUCGUCAGCUCGUGCCGUGAGGUGUCGGGUUAAGUCCCAUAACGAGCGCAACCCCUACCGUUAGUUGCCAUCAGGUCAAGCUGGGCACUCUGGCGGGACUGCCGGUGUAAGCCGAGAGGAAGGUGGGGAUGACGUCAAAUCAGCACGGCCCUUACGUCCGGGGCUACACA
rnacentral:rRNA from 1 species